rnacentral:lncRNA from 1 species
CUUCAUCAAGCCUCAUCAAACCUUAUCAACCGUAAUCACCCCUUAUCAACCGUAAUCAAACCUAACCAACCCUUAUCAACCCUUAUCAACUGUAAUCAACCCUUAUCAACCGUAAUCAACCCUUAUCAACCCUUAUCAACUGUAAUCAACCGUAAUCAACCCUUAUCAACCGUAAUCAACCGUAAUCAACCCUUAUCAACCCUUAUCAACCGUAAUCAACUCUUAUCAACCCUAAUCAACCCUUAUCAACCGUAACCAUCCUUAUCAACCGUAAUCAAACCUAACCAACCCUUAUCAACCGUAAUCAACCCUUAUCAACCCUUAUCAACCGUAAUCAACCCUUAUCAACCGUAAUCAACCCUUAUCAACCGUAAUCAACUCUUAUCAACCGUAAUCAACCCUUAUCAACCCUUAUCAACCCUAAUCAACCGUAAUCAAAUCUAACCAACCCUUAUCAACCGUAACCAUCCUUAUCAACCGUAAUCAAACCUUAUCAACCGUAAUCAAACCUAACCAACACUUAUCAACCCUAAUCAACCCUUAUCAACCCUUAUCAACCCUAAUCAACCGUAAUCAAACCUUAUCCACCGUAAUCAACUCUUACAGAAUUUGGUUUUUCACACCCUCCCACUCAGCCUUCAACCCUAAUUAACCCUUAUCAAUAUUAACUCUAAUCAACCCUUACAGCUCUAGCUGCUAUGGAGAACAACCUGGGGAGGUGAGAGUGGGGUGGGCGUGUGUGUGUGUGUGCUGAUGUUCGUGUGUCAUGCAUGCAAAGUGUGUCAAAUAACUUGAGAAGAAGAGAAAGUGAAAAAAUAGACACAUACAAAACACUGUAUAGUUGAGUCUGGUUCGAUGACAUGUUGGCUUUACAAAGGACGUGGUCAGAAAAUGGAACUUUGGAGGGUGGUUAACAAAAAAGGCAGCUCACCAGUGAAUCAAUUUUAUUGUAUUAAAUGACAUUCUUAUUCUAUUUCCCAACAACAACCCCAAAAGCAGGAGUAAAACUCCUUCCCUCUUUGGAGUGAGAGUGCAGCGAGGUGAGUGUGUGUCAGAAUGUGGUGUGUUUGACACAGCAGCUCUGGUUGGGGUGUUCGGCAAGGCGACAGAUGGGAGUUUGUGUGUGUGUGUGUUCGUGUGUGUGUAUGAGUGGGUAUGUGGGUGGGUGGCAGAGUGGAGAGCUUGCUGCCUGGGUGACCUUUUCUUGUGCGUAGAGGUGGCAUCAUUCUGACAGUGUGACAGAGGGAGACGUACCCUCCUUUUAAUGGAUGAGCUCUCUCAAGGUUACCACCUCUCCUCCAGCUCUUCUCUCUCUCUCCUGUCUCCUCUUCCAUUAGACUGUCUGUAACCCUUAUUCUCGUAUUCUUGUUUGGUAGCCUUGUCGCGAACCAGGCUUCCAUACAUGGCCAAAUAUAUGUGGACACCUGCUCGUUGAACAUCUCAUUCCAAAAUCAUGGGCAUUAAUAUGGAGUUGGUCCCCCCUUUGCUGCUAUAACAGCCUCCCCUCUUCUGAGAAUGUGAAGACAGACACUGGGAGACGAGAAGCAGGUACAGGGAGUGAAUAUUUAAUAAAUAACAGACAUAAAACAAAACACGGGCAGCGUCUGGACAAGGGAAACAUAACGACAUUAAUGCUGACUCUGAAAAGAAACUGAGGCAGUGACAGAUAUAGGGGAGGUAAUUAAUAAUGUGAUGGAGUCCAGGUGAGUCCGAUGAAGUGCUGAUGCACGUAACGAUGGUGACAGGUGAGUGUAAUGAUAAGCAGCCUGGUGACCUCGAGCGCCAGAGAGGUGGAGCGGGAGCAGACAUGACAGUAUGCGCCCCCUCUAGGGGCGCCACCUGGGUGGGACUGACGGGCCAGCCGAGGCAUGGGAGCUUCACGAGCCGGCUGAGGCAUGACAUGGGAUGGAAGCCUGCCGAGCCAACCGAGGCAAGAAAACCUCUCGAGCCAGCUAAGGCAUGGAAGCCCGACGAGCCAACUAAGGCAUGGAAGCCCGACGAGCCAGCUAAGGCAUGGAAGCCCGACGAGCCAGCUAAGGCAUGGAAGCCUGACGAGCCAACUAAGGCAUGGAAGCCCGACGAGCAAACUAAGGCAUGGAAUCCUGACGAGCCAACUAAGGCAUCCCCGGUUCCAUCAGCAGCGACACCUGGACCCGACGUCACCAACCAAAACAAAAAGCCUCCCUGAUGCUUCCAAUAUUGGUGUCAGCAUUCUGUGAGGACAGACACUGGGAGAUGAGAAGCAAGUGACUAUAUUUAAUAAAUAGCAGACAUGACACAAAACACGGACAGCGUCUGGACAAGGGAAACAUAACGACAUUAAUGCUGACACGGGAAAGGGCCUUCCCCAAACUGUUUCCACAAAGUUGGAAGUACAGAAUCGUCUAGAAUGUCAUUGUAUGCUGUAGCGUUAAGAUUUCCCUUCACUGGAACUAAGGGACAUAGACCAAACCAGGAAAAACAGCCCCAGACCAUUAUUCCUCCUCCACCAAAAACUUUACAGUUCGCACUAUGCAUUCGGGCCGGUAGGGUACUCCUGGCAUCUGCCAAACCGAGAUUCGUUCAUAGGACUGCCAGACGGUGAAACGUGAUCAAUCAUUCCAGAGAACGCGUUUUCACUGCCAAUGACGGCGAGCUUUACACCACACCAGCUGAAGCUUGGCAUUGCGCAAAGUGAUCUUAGGCUUGUGUGCGGCUGCUCGGACAUGGAAACCCAUUUCAUGAAGCUCCCGAUGAACAGUUGCUCCCAGAGGCAGUCUGGAACUUGGUAGGGAGUGUUGCAACCGAGGCCAGAUGAAUUUUACGCAUUAUGCGCUUCAGCACUCGCUGGUCCCGUUCUGUGAGCUUGUGUGGCCUACCACUUUUUCGUUUACACUUCAUAAUACAGCGCUUACAGUUGACCGGGGCAGUUCUAGCAGCGCAGAAAUUUGACAACAUUUUUUGGAAAGGUGGCAUCCGAUGAUGGUGCCACAUUGAAAGUCACUGAGUUCUUCAGUAUGGCCAUUCUACUGGCAAUGUUUGUCUAUGGAGAUUGCAUGACUGUGUGCUCAAUUUUAUACACCUGUCAGUAACAGGUGUGGCUGAAAUAGCCGAAUCCACUCAUUUGAAGGGGUGUCCACACAGCUUUAGUGUGGCAGAAAUCAGCUAAAGAGGGGUCAGAGCCAGGUCGGAACCAUCGUGUAAAUCAGUGACACAUCCAACCAAUCAAAUGCCUUGCUUGAGCGGUGCUCCAAAGGUGCUCACCAGAUUAAUGCCGUAGAAGCAAGAGUGAGUCAGGACAAAACAUGUCAACAAUAUUUUUAGAACGUUUGCAGCAUGCUAGUUGUCUCUGUUAUAUCGAGAUGCG